GAUGAACGCUAGCGACAGGCCUAACACAUGCAAGUCGAGGGGCAGCGCGGAUCAAGCUUGCUUGAUUUGGCGGCGACCGGCGAACGGGUGCGUAACAGGUGUGCAAUCUGUCCAUAAUCGGGGAAUAGCCCAGCGAAAGUUGGAUUAAUGCUCCAUGUGAGUAGAGGAGGCAUCUCUACUCAAUUAAAGAAUUUCGGAAACGGAUAGGCUCGCGUGACAUUAGCUUGAUGGCGGGGUAACGGCCCACCAUGGCGACGAUGUCUAGGGGUUCUGAGAGGAAGGUCCCCCANACUGGAACUGAGACACGGCCCAAAACUCCUACGGGAGGCAGCAGUGGGGAAUAUUGCACAAUGGGCGAAAGCCUGAUGCAGCGACGCCGCGUGAGCGAAGAAGUAUUUCGGUAUGUAAAGCUCUAUCAGCAGGGAAGAAAAAAUGACGGUACCUGACUAAGAAGCACCGGCUAAAUACGUAGCCAGCAGCCGACGG
rnacentral:rRNA from 1 species